UACCCUCUCAUUCUUUUCUAGCCUUCUUUGCCGGUUGUUUUUUUUUCCCUCAUCUCUUCCUAUUUAAUUGCCUCCUGCACCACGUCUUCCUCCAUAAUUGAAUCUAAGUGUUCUGGAAAGAGUGCAAGAACCACCGCUCGAAAGCUUUGCAAUUUCUAUUACUUUGUCUCGUUCUUUUCUUAGCCUAUUGUACCGGUCAUUUUUUUUCCUCGUCAUCUUCCUAUUUAAUUGCCUCCUACACUGCAUCUUUCUCCAUAAUUGACUUUUAAGUGUUCUAGAAAGAGUAGGGAAAUUUAUGUUAGCCAAUUAAGUCUAAGAAGGAGCAAGUGACUUGGUAGGUGUUAUUUGCAGGAGCUGGUUAAUUUUUGCUGUUUUUGACAGUGGUGCAAUUUUAUCUGGGGAUGUGUUGAAAUGGAACAGUGGAUUUUAGGAUUUUUCAUCAUUAUUUAGGUGUUCUACAGGUGUUCUAUGUGAGCUUUACUCUGUUUUGUUGGCUUACGUGAAUGGCUUAUGUGUAACUAAGAAAGCUCGGCAGCGGAUAUAUGAGGACGAGUUGCUAAUUGUGUUGGGUAAAUUGAGUUGUAGUCUUUUCUUUUGCUUUUGUUUUUGUGUUUUAUGAUGCCAACAAGUAACUUGCUAAGACACGACCUGGAGGACAUGUGGCAAUUCCGUGGCAAAACACUGAUAAACUUUGCUUCCCACUCUUCCUCUUCCUCCUCUCUACUGUUUUCUAUCUAAAAUCCCCUAGCAAAUGCAAAACAAGAUCUUCAAUUCUCCUAUGACUGGCAGAGUUUGAAGUACCAACCUCAUUAGUUUUGUUUUCCAUAUACCCAUCUUAUAUCCAUCUCCUACACCAAGGGCAAUUUGAUUUUGCUGAUUCAAUCCCUUUUUAUUUUUCAUAUACCUAUCUUAUAUCCAUUUCCCUCCACCAUCAUUUCCCUCCACCAAGGCCAAUUUGAUUUUGUUGAUUCAAUCCCUUUCUCUGGAUCCUAUGAGACUUAAUGCCCAUCAAUUUCAGUUUUGGGACUCUCUCCUAAUCUCCGGUCCUUUGAACUGAUCUUGUGCUAGAUAUGAGGUAUAAUUGGUCUUGUAUUAUUCUGCUAUUGUUGAUUGUCAUUCAUGUGUGUUCUUCAAUCAUGUUGAGGUUUAUAUAAAUUAGAAUCUGGCUGGUACUUUGCAUGCUGUACUUCGGCUUCUUUCCUUUCAAUUCUUAUGGAGCCUGAGCAUUGGAUUAAGUUUUGUUUAUCUCAUGGAUAUUUCUGAAUUAGGAUUGGUUUUUGGUGGCAAAUUUGCAUUUACUACUCAUUACUAUUCAUUGGUUGCAAAUUUUCUACUCAUGCAGAUUACUACUCAUUACAACUCAUGACUACUCAUUGGUUGCAAAUUGGAUGUUUGAUGUUCGUAUAUAAGUCAUGCUUUCUCUUUUUUAGUUGCUUUACUUUUGUAUCAUAGUUAUGCUUUUGGCUUCUGUAUCAUUGAUCUAAGCUUAGCAAUGUUUCUGAUGCAAGAUAAGUCAAAGAUAUCGAUUGUACUAAGCCAUAUCUCAAGCAUUUGAAGCUUCCCCAAUAGAUGGUUUCAGGUGGGCACUUUUGUAGUAGUAGCUGAUGUAUCUUGAAUUCCAUAUCAGGGAAAGCACAGAACAGAUGAAGUCUACAUUACUGAGCUUCAGACAUUAGAUGCCAACAAAUUGUCAACAGUCUCCUUCUGAGUCUCGGAGUUGGGUUGAUCCUCUCAACACCACUGCUAGUGCAAUGCACACUAGCCACGUGUUUACAUGGGAUCAAUUAUUCAGGGUAGUAUGAUGAUACCUACAUUCUUAUGCAAAAUGCAUGUGUGGAAUGCUGUGCUCACCUUCAAAGUGGAGGAAUGAACAACAACAAUGCAUC